GACGAACGCUGGCGGCGUGCUUAACACAUGCAAGUCGAACGGAAAGGCCCUGCUUUUGUGGGGUGCUCGAGUGGCGAACGGGUGAGUAACACGCGAGUAACCUGCCCUUGACUUUGGGAUAACUUCAGGAAACUGGGGCUAAUACCGGAGAGGAGCUCCUGCUGCAUGGGGGGGGUUGGAAAGUUUCGGCGGUUGGGGAUGGACUCGCGGCUUAUCAGCUUGUUGGUGGGGUAGUGGCUUACCAAGGCUUUGACGGGUAGCCGGCCUGAGAGGGUGAACGGCCUCCUUGGGACUGCGGUACGGCCCAGACUCCUACGGGAGGCAGAGGUGGGGAAUAUUGCACAAUGGGCGGAAGCCUGAUGCAGCAACGCCGCGUGCGGAAUGACGGCCUUCGGGUUGUAAACCGCUUUCGCCUGUGACGAAGCGUGAGUGACGGUAAUGGGUAAAGAAGCACCGGCUAACUACGUG
rnacentral:rRNA from 1 species